GUACAUACCAAUCUUUAAGGUGAAACCGCGAAUGGCUCAUUAAAUCAGUUAUGGUUCAUUAGAUCUUAACCAAGUUACUUGGAUAACUGUGGUAAUUCUAGAGCUAAUACAUGCAACCAAGCUCCGACCGCAAGGGAAGGGCGCUUUUAUUAGAUCAAAACCAAUCGGUCUUCGGGCCGUCAUGUCGUGUUGACUCUGAAUAACUUUGUUCUGAGCGUACGGUCUUCGAACCGACGCCGCAUCUUUCAAGUGUCUGCCUUAUCAGCUUUCGAUUGUAGGCUAUGCGCCUACAAUGGCUAUAACGGGUAACGGGGAAUCAGGGUUCGAUUCCGGAGAGGGAGCCUGAGAAACGGCUACCACAUCUAAGGAAGGCAGCAGGCACGCAAAUUACCCACUCCCAGCUCGGGGAGGUAGUGACGAAAAAUAACGAUGCGGGACUCUUCCGAGGCUUCGCAAUCGGAAUGAGCUCAACCUAAAUCCUUGUACGAGGAUCCAUUGGAGGGCAAGUCUGGUGCCAGCAGCCGCGGUAAUUCCAGCUCCAAUAGCGUAUAUUAAAGUUGUUGCGGUUAAAAAGCUCGUAGUUGGAUCUCAGUUCUGGACCGGUGGUUCGCCUCUGGUGAAUACUGUUGGUCCGAGCAGCUCGCUGGUUUCUUGGGAUGCUCUUAAUCAAGUGUCUCUUGGGGCCAGCACGUUUACUUUGAAAAAAUUAGAGUGCUCAAAGCAGGCUAUUGCCUGAAUAGUUGUGCAUGGAAUGAUGGAAAAGGACCUCGGUUCUAUUUUGUUGGUUUUCGGAACCCGAGGUAAUGAUUAAUAGCGACGGACGGGGGCAUCCGUAUUGCGACGCUAGAGG
rnacentral:rRNA from 1 species